AGUCCAGGCGGGAGCCGGAAGCCCAGCGCGGAGCCGGCCGCGGCCCCCUGUUGUGUUGCUGCGGAGAGGUACUUGGAUGCAUUUUACAGCAAAAGCAGACAUGUGUCAAUUUAAAUUCUACAUCUAUGUAUUUGGUAAGCGGAGGCCUAAAUAACACUGUUAAUAUUUGGGAUUUAAAAUCAAAAAGAGUUCAUCGAUCUCUUAAGGAUCAUAAAGAUCAAGUAACUUGUGUAACAUACAAUUGGAAUGAUUGCUACAUUGCUUCUGGAUCUCUUAGUGGUGAAAUUAUUUUACACAGUGUAACCACUAAUUUAUCUAGUACUCCUUUUGGCCAUGGUAGUAACCAGGCUCUCCAAUCCAGUGUUGAAUAGAAGUGAUGAUAGUGGACAUCUUUAUUUUGUCCCCAAAUUCUGGAAGAAGCAUUCAAUUUACUACCAAGCAUGAUAGUCAUUGUAAGGCUAGUGAAAACUUUAGUGGCUGACACUCCUCUAACUGCGGUAGAUUUCAUGCCUGAUGGAGCCACUUUGGCUAUUGGAUCUUCCCGGGGGAAAAUAUAUCAAUAUGA
rnacentral:lncRNA from 10 species